AUCAGGUUCAACGCAGUGACUGCUCAGUAGAAGCCAUGGCUCGCAGACACUGCUUCUCCUACUGGUUACUGGUAUGCUGGUUGGUGGUAACUGUGGCAGAAGCACUGUCCACUUUCUAUCUCCAGCAGCAUAUUAAUUUGCACAUGCCAGGAUGGUCUCGAUCUCCUGACCUCGUGAUCUGCCAGCCUCGGCCUCCCAAAGUUCUGGGAUUACAGGCAUGAGCCACAGCGCCCGGCCAAAAUCCGCACAUCUUAAAGGACAAGAAGAGGUAUUUACGCCUCCUGGAGAUUCACAAAAUAAUGCGGACGCUACCGACUGCCAGAUCUUUACACUCACCCCUCCACCUGCCCCGAGGAGUCCGGUCACAAGGGCCCAGCCCAUCACAAAGACACCCAGGUAUUUCCCCAGAAGAAGACUCCAGAGAGGAAGCUCAUCUGAGGAAAGCUGAGAGGGAAGAGAAACCCAAACAUACUGAAGCAAAAAAAAGCCUAUCCUUCAGAAAAAAGCAACAAAAAGAUUUCUGUUUUAUCUUUCGAAACUAAAACUAUUGGAUUUGAAGAUUAAGUAUCCUAAACAUCACUGACUAGAAACUGUUCUCUUUGUCAGCAGUGAAGAUAUUGGAUCAUAGGUUAUUGAUGGUUGCAAAAUUGGACAAUAACCACGUUAUUUUUAUCCUCAACCUCUUAUGGUCACAGGAUAUUUAUGCAAAUAAAAUCUUUAAAUGGGUGGCUCUAGUAAUUCCUAUCCAUACUAAGAUGCUGAGAGAAUCCAUCUCCUCCUCUAAAUUAAACAGGAUUUAAAUAAAUUGAGAUCAUUAUAAACCACACGAAGAAACUGAUGACACCGUUUUUAUACUCAUUGGAAAACAUACAGAGCAAGGUGCAUUGACAAAGUAAACUUUAAAAGAAAUUAUAAAGCUUAAAGCAAUUAAAAAGUUAUGAGGAGUCUGACUGUAGCUAAUACUUUAAAGAUAUAAACUGACUUGUCUAACCCAAAUAAUAAUAAUUAUUAUUAUUUUCUUGGAGACAGAAUUUCACUCUUGUUACCCAGGCUGGAGUUUAGUGGUGCUGUCUCGGCUCACUGCAACCUCUGCCUCCCGGGUUCAAGCAAUUCUCUUGCCUCAGCCUCCCAAGUAGCUGGGAUUAUAGGUGCUCGCUACCAAGCCUGGCCAAUUUUUUGUAUUUUUAGUAGAGAUGGGGUUUCACCAUGUUGGCCAGGCUGGUCUCGAACUCCUGACCUCAGGUGAUCCACCCACCUCGGCCUCCCAGAGUGCUGGGAUUACAGGCAUGAGUCACUGCGCCCAGCCCCAAAUAAUUACUUUUAAACUAUAGUAUCUAAAUUUACUUUAAUGUUGACUUCAACUGAUGCAAAUUAAUUUGAUAAUUUUCUCACUGUUUCCCGUUAUCAUUACAUAGAUGCUGGCUAAAAUAAUAUACUUCCUCUCAAACUUUUAACGUAAUUCCAGGUUCAAAAUGCCUGAUUAAACUGCUACAAGAAUAUUCUGGUACCUCUAGAACUCCACAGAGAUAAGUUCACUCAACUCUUGGAACCUUGUAUUCUCAGGGUGCAAUAUGAGAAACAAAUCCCACAGAUUGCAUUGAUUGGUUAUUUGUUUUGGCCACUCUGUAAAACACAUCUUCCUGUUUAUGCCACUUAUCUUGCCUGUAACAUAAGAACUUUAGUUCUGCAUAUGUGGUCAGUGGUUUGCACUUUUUCCUCCCAAGAUCUACAUGCAAAAGUUGCUGUUGCUGCUGCUGCUACAAAAACAGAAAAAAAAAAAUCAGGAUGAAGACAUGAAAGGACUUUGGGAAUGGUUGCCCUAAAAAAGGAAAGAGAGAUAAAAUCAUCAUGCUAUGUUUCUUUGCUUUAUUAAAAUGAUCAAAAAAGAAAAAAACUAUUUAA
rnacentral:lncRNA from 1 species